CUUAGCAGCUGGUAAGACCAAAUACACUAUAUUAUUACUAUUAACACACACACACUUGACCAAUAAGCCCAGGCCACAACAGCCAGCCCAGCACAGUCACCAAAAAGAUCAGACCUUUCACAGGACCCACCAACCACAUGAAGCCUGGGGUGGAAAGUGAAUAACAGAUCAUGCCGUCACAGUCACCAUUUGUUCCAACAGAUGAAUAUUUUCUGUUCUCUGUGCUACACACAGCCCUGUAACACCACCACAACAAACACUUGCACUCACACACACAGCAGAACUGAAUCAGCACAGCACCUCAGGAGAAGUGGACCUUCAUGUGCCUGACAAUCUCACCCUUAGUCAUGAAACGUUUCCCACAAACAUCGCACUUGAACCCCUUAUGACCAGAGUGUCUGAAGACGUGCAUGUCCAAUAUACUCUUCAGUUUGAAUCUUUUCCCACAAACUUCACACUCAUGACUUCUUGCAUCAGUGUGUGUAACAAGGUGUAAUUUGAGGGUACCCUUCUGACUGAAACAUUUCCCACAAACUUCACACUCAUGACUUCUUGCAUCAGUGUGUGUAACAAGGUGUAAUUUGAGGGUACCCUUCUGACUGAAACAUUUUCCACAAACUUCACACUCAUGAUUUCUUUCACCAGUGUGUGUAAGAGUGUGUAAUUUGAGGGUACCCUUCCGACUGAAACAUUUUCCACAAACUUCACACUCAUGAUUUCUUUCACCAGUGUGUGUAAGAGUGUGUAAUUUGAGGUGACCCUUCAGACUGAAACAUUUCCCACAAACUUCACACUCAUGAUUUCUUUCACCAGUGUGUGUAAGAGUGUGUUUCUUGAGGGUACCCUUCAGACUGAAACAUUUCCCACAAACUUCACACUCAUGAUUUCUUUCACCAGUGUGUGUAAGAGUGUGUAAUUUGAGGUUACCCUUGUGACUGAAACAUUUCCCACAAACUUCACACUCAUGCUUUCUUUCACCAGUGUGUGUAAGAGUGUGUAAUUUGAGGUUACCCUUCUCAGUGAAACAUUUCCCACAAACUUCACACUCAUGAUUUCUUGCACUGGUGUGUGUAAGGGUGUGUGUGUUGAGGUUACCCUUCUGACUGAAACAUUUCCCACAAACUUCACACUCAUGAUUUCUUUCACCAGUGUGUGUAAGAGUGUGUAAUUUGAGGUUACCCUUGUGACUGAAACAUUUCCCACAAACUUCACACUCAUGCUUUCUUUCACCAGUGUGUGUAAGGGUGUGUAAUUUGAGGGUACCCUUCUGAUUGAAACAUUUCCCACAAACUUCACACUCAUGGUUUCUUGCACCAGUGUGUGUAAGGGUGUGAUGUUUUAGGUUACUCCUAUUCCUAAACCUUUUGCCACACUCCCGACUUUCAUGAGGUCUUACACCAGAGUGUGUGGGUGUAUUUGUUGAGGUCAUCCUUCCCUGCAUGUCUUUUCUCACACUCUUGGCUUUGGUCAGUAAACUUGCUCUCAUUCUCAGAUCUUCUCACACUUCUGAAAUUCAAACUUCCCCCUUUGUGGAUGAAGAGGCCAGCAGUUGUUGUUGUUGGUAGUGGUUGUGUUGGUGGUGUUUUUUAUCACUCCUGAACCUCACACCAGUAGCAGUCUGCUCCUGCUGUUCCCAGCCACUCCAGCUGCUGUCCCGCCUUGCAGCCUCCACUGCAACACUACUCUGGAUGUGAGGAGUUGGCUGGCCUUGAGGAACCUCAGAGAUGCUGGAGAAGGCGGCGAGGUUGCUUCAAAGCCACAUUCAGUGACCAAUUGAGCAGGCAAGGCGAGGGAUGCACCAAGGAGUCCUGAAGUCAGCGGCAGCAGGGACGGAACAAGUACUGACCACAGCAACUGUCUUGAUGCCUCACUUCAACACUAACACCAGUGGUGGACAUUGGGACACAAAGUCAUGUGCUGAAAAAAAAAAAAAAAAAAGACUGGUAAGGAAACUGAAGUUGGUGGGAGGGAUCAGGGCGGUGGUGGGUGCACCGAAGGCAAGCCACAGGCCACCGGGUCAGGCAAAUAGUGCGUGUACUGAUAAUAAACUAAUGCAAUAAUAUAUUCAUUGAUAAAUAUGUCUUUUGAACUAACCUAAAUAAAUCUGAAGCGAUAUUCGUAACAAUACUAAGACAGAACUACACGUAAAUGGACAAUAUCCAGCGACCAAAGCUGCAAGCUUGAUAGUUUUAAUGCCUGUUAACACAUUAAUCGCGUUUGGCAACUCAGCGCUCUUGCCUGCUCCG